UACAGAGGCCCCGAGCAUUAUCCGGAAUCACUGGGCGUAAAGGGUGUGUAGGCGGUCGUAUUAGUCUUUCGUGAAAGCUUCUGGGCUUAACCCAGAAAACGCGGGAGAAACGGUACGACUUAGAGGUUGCGAGAGGUAUAUGGAACUCAUGGUGUAGGGGUGAAAUCCGUUGAUAUCAUGGGGAACACCAAAAGCGAAGGCAAUAUACUGGCGCAUACCUGACGCUGAGACACGAAAGCGUGGGAAUCGAACGGG
rnacentral:rRNA from 1 species